rnacentral:rRNA from 1 species
AGGAAGAAGCUUGCUUCUUUGCUGACGAGUGGCGGACGGGUGAGUAAUGUCUGGGAAACUGCCUGAUGGAGGGGGAUAACUACUGGAAACGGUAGCUAAUACCGCAUAACGUCGCAAGACCAAAGAGGGGGACCUUCGGGCCUCUUGCCAUCGGAUGUGCCCAGAUGGGAUUAGCUAGUAGGUGGGGUAACGGCUCACCUAGGCGACGAUCCCUAGCUGGUCUGAGAGGAUGACCAGCCACACUGGAACUGAGACACGGUCCAGACUCCUACGGGAGGCAGCAGUGGGGAAUAUUGCACAAUGGGCGCAAGCCUGAUGCAGCCAUGCCGCGUGUAUGAAGAAGGCCUUCGGGUUGUAAAGUACUUUCAGCGGGGAGGAAGGGAGUAAAGUUAAUACCUUUGCUCAUUGACGUUACCCGCAGAAGAAGCACCGGCUAACUCCGUGCCAGCAGCCGCGGUAAUACGGAGGGUGCAAGCGUUAAUCGGAAUUACUGGGCGUAAAGCGCACGCAGGCGGUUUGUUAAGUCAGAUGUGAAAUCCCCGGGCUCAACCUGGGAACUGCAUCUGAUACUGGCAAGCUUGAGUCUCGUAGAGGGGGGUAGAAUUCCAGGUGUAGCGGUGAAAUGCGUAGAGAUCUGGAGGAAUACCGGUGGCGA